AUUGAACGCUGGCUGCAGGCCUAACACAUGCAAGUCGACCGAGCGGCGGACGGGUGAGCAAUGUAUGGGGCCUCCCCGAUAGGGGGGGAUAACUACUGGAAACGCUAGCUAAUACCGCAUACUAUCGGAUAACCCAUAUGGGAUUAGCUAGUAGGUGAGGUAAUGGCCCACCUAGGCGACGUUCCCUAGCUGGUCUGAGAGGAUGAUCAGGCACGCUGGAACUGGGACACGGCCCAGUGUCCUACGGAGUCGGAAGUGGGGAAUGUGGCACAAUGGGCGCAGGGGUGAUGCUGCCAUGCCGGGUUGACGAAGAGGGCCCUACGGUUGUAAAGGACUGGAAGCCGUGAGGCGUUACCGACAGAAGAAGCAACGGCUAACUCCGAGCAGGCCGCCGCGGUAAUAC
rnacentral:rRNA from 1 species